AUGAAACUCACUACAGACAAUGAAGACGACCUUUCUUAUUAUACCGAAGAAUAUGAAAAAAUAAAAAAAAGAACUUUAUUUAAAAUAUUAUUAACUGUUUUUAUUAAAACAUUAUUUGAAUCAUUUUUACAACCAUUAUUACCAUAUUAUAUUUUAAAUUACUAUGAUAUAAAAGUAAAAGAAUUGGGAAUAUUAUUAAGUAUAUAUUCUUUAUCACAAUGUGCUAUGUGUUUAAUAACAGGUUUUUUUUCUUCUGUAAAUAAAAAAAGUUUAAUGAUUUUUUUAAUAAUUUUUAAUUUAUUUGGUUUAUAUUUAUUUUAUUUGGAAAAACAAACUUUUUUUAUUUUAGCAAUUAAUCGAUUGAUAUGUGGGAGUAGUUCAAUUUUUAUAGUAGUAGUUAAUGCAGUAAUUAAUGAUUUAGUAGAAAGUGACAAAGUAUGUACUUAUUAUACUUAUAUAAAUAUAUUCAAUGCUUUUGGUAUGAUCUUAGGUCCAUUAUUAUCAUCUAUAUUCUUAACUGUAUUUGAUUUUAAUAUAAUAUUACAUUUUAAUACCAUAGGACUUAUAGUUUCGCUUUUUAUUGUUUUCACCAUUUCAAGUGAUUUAUUAAUGAAUAAUAAUGGAGAAACACAAUAUAAUAUACAAGAUGACCAACAAAUAGAUACAAAUGAAAAAAAUAUAUUUGGUAAUAUAAAAAAAAGGUUUACUGGUAAAGAAAAAAAAUUGGAUAAUAUUAAUCCUAAACAUAGUAUGUCUCAUUUUAUUAAAAAAAAUAUUCCAUUGUAUAAAUCUAAAGAUAAUAAAACAAAAUAUGAUACAAAUGAAAAUAAUAGUAAUAUUAAUUUUUAUUAUAAAGAAGUAAGUGUUAAUAAUGAUCCUAUUGAUGAUCUUGCUAAUAUAUCAAAUCAAAUAUUAAAAAAUAAACCAACAGAAUAUUUUAAAUUUUCAGAUAUUACAACAUAUUUAAAAGAAAAAACACAACAACUAAGUAGUGCUAUAUUUACUUAUAAAUACAAAUGUUUAUUGGCGAUCUGUUUAUUUAGGUUUACUUCAGCAUUUUCUUCCAACUUAAUGAGUAAUAUUUUUUUUGUUUUCUACAACGACAACAUCAUUUCAGGUAAGGGGCAUUAUAUAUGUAAAUACAUAUAUGUAAAUAUGAAUAUGUAA
rnacentral:lncRNA from 1 species